rnacentral:rRNA from 1 species
CAAUAGCGUAUAUUAAAGUUGUUGCAGUUAAAGAGCUCGUAGUUGGAUUUCUGGAUCGAACGCUUCGUCCGCCGCUGUGCGGUGUGUACUGAGGUUUUGUUUCGAUUCAUCCUUGCAGGGAAGCGAGUUCGAGAUUAAUUUGUCGGCUCGGGGAACUGCAUCUUUUACUGUGAAAAAAUUAGGGUGUUUAAAGCAGGCAUUUUGCUGUGAAUACAUUAGCAUGGAAUAAUAACAUAGGACUUUGGUUCUAUUUUGUUGGUUGGAGGCCAAGGUAAUGAUUAAUAGGGACAGUUGGGGGUAUUCAUAUUUAAUUGUCAGAGGUGAAAUUCUUGGAUUUAUGAAAGAUGAACUCAUGCGAAAGCAUUUACCAAGGAUGUUUUCAUUAA